AUGAGCCAGGAGCACUCAGAUCAAUUUGGAGCCACUCACGUCAGCAAUCCGGAAAUGGAUGGUAACUCUCUUGGGCUACUUCCCUGACAUCUGGAAUCCAUGAAGAGUUCAAGACAUUGCUGGAAGCAGAGAUGGAUAAGAUGUUACCCACACUGGUUCUGGCCCCUGUGAUCCAUUUACCCUGAGGAGAAAUUAUCCAGUAGGCUGAGAUAUCACACUGACCUCUUUGACUCCAUGUCGGUUGUGGAUCCUAAGAGUCACCAGCUGUUAAGCAUGUUUUGCCUGAAUGCCACCAAGACAGUGAGAACACCUCUGCCCCUCUGCA